CCCGGCCCCCCGCGCCCCCCGGGAUCUCCGCGUCGGAGCGGGUCUGGGAGUGCGCUGCUGGGCCGGGGUCAGGCCGCGGAAAGGGGGCUCCUGCUUCCGUCCUGCAGCCGCGGUCACCCGGCACUGAGCUGUGGAAAGCGGGAUCGUCGUCGGGGCUGCGAGGAAAGUGCAGCGUAUUAGGAAAAUGACUGUGGUAGUCAGCGAUAGGGCAAGGAGGAGGUGGCUUUAAACUAAAAGAGAGGAGGUUUAGAUUAGAUGUUAGAGGGAAAGUCUUUACUCACAGGGCGGUGAGGCACUGGCACUGCUGCCCCAGUGGGAAGCUGCGGUGCCCCAUCCCUGGAGGCACUCGAGGCCGGGUUGGAUGGGCCCUGGGCAGCCUGGGCUGGUGGGGGGCAGCCCUGCCCGUGGCAGGGGGUUGGAACUGCGAGAUCCUUAACGUCCCCUCCAGCCCAAACCAUCCUGUGAUUCUAUGAAAACCUGCUCAGCAGCUCAGAGCAGUGUUUUUAAGCUGUUGCCUUGAUCUGUGCUGGCCAGGACAGGCUGUCCCUACGGCCUUUUCAGCUAUGAAAGGGUACAGUCCCAGUUCUGCAAGGCUCUGGUUUUUGGCUUAACUGCUUGGGUGCUCAGUGAGGAUUGGUGCGCAGAGGAUUCCUACUCUCUGUGCUUUGUGGUUGUGCCACACGCCGUGGCUCUGUCCGUGCUCCUUGCAGCCUGUGCUGUGCUGUGCUGUCGCCUCCCAGUCCUCCCUUCCCAUUUCCCUCCAUUAUCCCUCUGCUUUCCUUCUGCGCUUCUCCGGGUAAUUCUCCUUAAAACCUGCCUACUUCCAGAUGGUUUUGUUUUUGCAGACACGAUGCCCGAAGCUCAUGAGUGGAGAACAGCAAGGAUUUUUUUUUUUUUUUUUUUUCCAUGAACACUGAUCCCAAAAUACAGCAAGGAGGACAUGCGGGGAGUUCUGAAAUGUCUGUUUCUCCCAGUGGAGCGCACUCAGGAAACAAACCAGAAGUGCGAUUAGGAUAUGGAAGGCCUUGGCUGCAAAAGUUCAAGGGAAGAAAACUUGGAGUACUCGGUUGGCAUGGUGAUGAGAAGGGCGGUCAGGUGAUCUCGUCCCUAUUUUUCUCAUCUGCUGACUGAUUUAACAAACGUGGGCCCAUCUGGUGGUUAUUAAGUGAUUGCCUCUCAAGGUCUCACCUUGACAGAUAAUCUAGUUGGAGAAGGGAGCGGGUUCUUCCUUCCCAUUUUGCAUCUGCUGCCCUUGGAACAGAUGCCUCGAAGAUCAACCUGUGAUUUAUAGCACCAGAGUUGGGUGUGGGAUCUCCCUGAUAACUCACAGAGGUUCUUGGUCCUGAAGAAUCUGAUACUGACCACCGCACAGGGAGGAAACAGGAUGAGCUGAACCGCAUGCCAAGUCUAAUAGAGCUAUAUUUAUGUUCUGAAAAACUCCUGACUAUAAGUGGAAGCACCUCCUGGCAACAAAACCUGGUGCAGGCAGUGAGUACACAUUCCUCUGUAAACUAAAGUGACCUAUUGCUUCAUUUUUGACAGCCAGGGGCCUCAUUUGGGAUGCAGCUGUUAUUGUAUGGAAACAGACACCCUCUUGCUGUGUCAGGCCAUCCUUAAACAGACAAGGAGUCCCUGUUUUCAACACAUGGCAUGCUUCUGGUUCCAUCUCUGAAUGCACUUUGGUGUUUCUAUCCAUGCCAAUGGCAGCUCAAUUAGAAGUGUUCUAUGCAUACAGAGCCCUGCAGAGGAUUCAAAAAUCAGUUAGUCCUCAGAGCAUUUCUAGAUGUGUUGCUUUCUGUGCAGACAGUGCUGUGGUACUUCUGGUUCGCUGCUGAAGUGAGGGCCAUUUUCCAGUCCUAUUUAACAUAGUAGUUAAUGAUCAGGGUGAUAUGGCAGAAGAUACCCUUGGCCUGUUUACAGAUGACACAAAACUGGGACGAACAGCUGAUAGGCCAAAGGCCGUGCAGCUAUCCCGAGGGUCCUCAGCUGUCUGCAGAAGUGGGCUGACAGGAACCUUGAGAAGUUCAUCCAGGAGAAGUGUGGAGUCCUGCACCUGGCACCGGGAUAUGCUAGGGGAAUCCAGCUCAAGAACAGGGCCAAGGGUCCUAGUGGACACCAAGUUUGAGUUAAAGUAUGUUCUUGCUGCUAAGGAGCAUAAUGGUUUAUUGGGCUGCAUUUGGCAAAGAAUUGGCAGUGAGUUGAGGGAGAUGCUCCUUCCACUCUGAGCAGCGUGGGUGAGGUCAAACCUGGAGUGCUGUGUCCAGUUUUGGGCUCCCAGUACAAGAGACAGUUGGACACUCUGGAGAGAGUCCAGUGGAGAGGCAGCGAGAUGAUGAAGGGACUGGAGCAUCUCUUCUGUGAGGAGGGGCUAAAAGAGCUGGGACUGCUUAACUUAAAGAAAAUUAGGCUCUGGGGAACCUUAUCAAUGUCCGUAAAUGCCUGAGGGGAGGGUGCAGAGAGGUUGGAGCCAGGCUUUGUUCAGUGGUACCCAGUGCCAGGACAAGAGGGGAAGGGCACAAACUGGAACACAGGAAGCUCCCCCUGAACAUCAGGCAGCUCUUCUAUGCUGUGUGGGUGACUGAAUCCUGGCACAGGCUGCCCAGAUGCUGUGGGGUCUUCUGUGGGGAGAUCUUCAGAAGCUGCCUGGACAGGGCACCCUGUUCUGGGUGUCCCUGCUUGGGCAGGGGUUGGGCUAGAGGGACACAGAGGCCCCCACCAGCCUCAGCCACUGAUUCCACCUUCCUUCCAGCACUGGCAUUGCACAGCCUCGGUAGCAGCACGUGUUGGUGUGUCCCAGAUCUUCUAUGGAGUCUCUUCAGUGCGCUCCUACACACCUGUGAACCUCAGUGAACCUGACUGCAGCUCCUUCCUGCACUUGCCUGUCCUUCCCAAGCCUCGUGUGGGUUCACUGAGGUCAGAUACAGUGCUGGGCCAAGGGGUUGUCAGCAUCAUUGCCGGCAGAGAUGGGAACUGUUUAAAAGCAGGCAGCUGAGGCUAAACAGGAUUAAACAAGCACCAGUUCUGCAGCUGCAAAUACCAUGCACUGAAUGCUUUCCCUUAGCGGGCUGUGGGAAUGCUCAGUGGUGCAGCGAGGUGCAGCUGCCUUUCAGGGAAGAUGGCCUCCAUGGGUGAUGUCCCACGGUGCCGCGUUCAGUGCCCCAUGAUGGUGCCUGCAGGCUCCCAGUGGGGGUGGGGGUGUACCCUGCAUUGGUCAGUGAGAGGUGGCAGCAGUACAUCAGUGCUAGAAGAAACAGAAGGACUUUCUGCCUUUGCCCUCUCUUCCCUCUCAUUGGUUUGUAAGCUGCUGUGUGUGUGAGAAACAGCGCAACCUGAAUCUCCCGGUGGAUUUCCCAGCCCUGUGCAGGGAGGGGGGGCCCAAAAGCAUGUGAAGCACACAGAGCCAGCCUGGUGCUUCCUCAUCGCUCUGGAUGAUAUGUCCGUGCUGGCACAUGCUGCCACUAUGUCCUCUGCUUUAAACAUUUAGUAGCAUAAGUAAGAGUCACCUCAGCCAGCCUCUGACCAGAGCUGAAGCAGAUGCUCAGGAGAGGAUAAAAUUACAGCAGGUAUAGGAAAAUACUGCUGUUAUUAUACACCCCCAAUCUCCUGGGAUGCUGCGGUGCAAAGGCUUCUUCAGCUGGGCUGCACUUUCGUUGCAGAGUCCAACUUAUUUCACUGUACCAUUCUUCUGUAGAAUGAUCCAGUUACUUUGUGAUCCUAUUUUUACGUUUUGGAGUCCAGGCCAUGUUGGGAUAAGGAGGUCUCAAACCUAUUUAGAAGUUGUACUCUGGUGUUGUAUGAAAGAAAAAAGAAAAAAAUGAAUAUUAAAAAAAAAAU
ensembl:lncRNA